rnacentral:rRNA from 1 species
AGUGAACGCUGGCGGUAGGCCUAACACAUGCAAGUCGAACGGCAGCACAGGAGAGCUUGCUCUCUGGGUGGCGAGUGGCGGACGGGUGAGGAAUACAUCGGAAUCUACUCUGUCGUGGGGGAUAACGUAGGGAAACUUACGCUAAUACCGCAUACGACCUACGGGCGAAAGCAGGGGACCUUCGGGCCUUGCGCGAUUGAAUGAGCCGAUGUCGGAGUAGCUAGUUGGCGGGGUAAAGGCCCACCAAGGCGACGAUCCGUAGCUGGUCUGAGAGGAUGAUCAGCCACACUGGAACUGAGACACGGUCCAGACUCCUACGGGAGGCAGCAGUGGGGAAUAUUGGACAAUGGGCGCAAGCCUGAUCCAGCCAUACCGCGUGGGUGAAGAAGGCCUUCGGGUUGUAAAGCCCUUUUGUUGGGAAAGAAAUCCAGCUGGCUAAUACCCGGUUGGGAUGACGGUACCCAAAGAAUAAGCACCGGCUAACUUCGUGCCAGCCGCCGCAGUAA